rnacentral:rRNA from 1 species
UACGUAGGGGGCAAGCGUUGUCCGGAAUUAUUGGGCGUAAAGCGCGUGUAGGCGGCCAGAAAAGUCCGCUGUGAAGACUCGAGGCUCAACUUCGAGCUGUCGGUGGAAACUUUCUGGCUAGAGUCCGGAAGAGGAGAAUGGAAUUCCUGGUGUAGCGGUGAAAUGCGCAGAUAUCAGGAAGAACACCCGUGGCGAAGGCGGUUCUCUGGGACGGUACUGACGCUGAGACGCGAAAGCGUGGGGAGCGAACAGG